rnacentral:lncRNA from 1 species
GCGGCUCCUCUUCGCUGCACCCCUUCCUGAUUACCCCUAGGCCCAGCCAAAUAAACUCUUCUUCCUGCUCCCUUGUGCCCCAUUUGGACUUCACUCGUAACAAGGGAGUAUAACUGGAUGGUAAAAGGGACUUUUCCUGUUAUCUAGACAUUUCAGCAGAGGCCUCAAAGGCAGAACAAAAUAGUGCAAGGAGCCGCACAUCCGCACAGUGCUGAGACCCUGCCCAGGACAAGCUUGACAAAAAAGAAGAAAAUUGGGUCUUGUUAUGUUGCCCAGGCUGGUCUCCAACUCCUGGCCUCAAGUGAUCCUCCCAGCUUGUCCUUCCAAAGUGUUGGGAUUAUAGGUGUGAGCCACUGUGCCUGGCCAUGUCUGAAUGUUGAAUGUUGACAGCUUCAGUGAAUUGACCCCUCUUUCACCUAUGGGACUUAUGAAGAGAGAAUCUUUCUGGCAUUGCAUAAUCCUUCCCAAGAGUACUUUAGCUGUGGUAACCCUUCUUGUUAUAAAACAUGCCAGGUAUGAUGAUGGAGAUCAGCUGAGCUGGACUUAGAAUCUUCUCUAAGAACAUUUACAGGCACUCAGUGUUAACAGCAGGGCAGAUGUAGGUUUCUGGGAACCUGAGGCUUAUAGGAACUGGAGUUCAUUGUAAGAAAAAGAAUAUCAAAUUAUGAAGACAAAAUUAGGCAUCAAUGUGAAUAUUAAUUUAGGAGAAAUCACAACAAAUCGCACAUCCUGAAAAGCUAACAAAUACUGCAUACAUCGCAGAAUCUAGAAGCAUAACAAUAUUUGUAUUGGUUAACUUGGACAUAUCACUAUAGUAUGCUUUUUUUCUACAUUUUGGGCUAUAUUUUUUUCCUAUUCUUUUUGGUUGAUGUCCUUGUAGUAGUGGCUACAUGUUAGUAGGCACUAACCCUAGUAGUAACUAAUCCUAGUAGUAGGGUUCAUGUUAUUGUUGUCGAUGUCUGUAUUUUGUGAUCAAAUCACCAAGACUGCAAAUCCUUCUUUCAACAUAUUCAUAUGAUUCACUCCCCUUCAUUAAAUUGGGUUAUUCAAACAA